GUGCUGAUUUACAUUUCAUCUCCUUUUCCUUAGUCUGUCCAUGUGAAUGUGCUGUGUGGAAGAGUUAAAGGGCCCAACUAAAUGUUCCAGUGAUUCUAAUAGGUAUUCCAAAUUAAUUGCUGCUUGUACAUUUAAUAGUUAUGUUAGGCUUCCAGAAUCACUUUAAAUAGGACUCUUUUUAAAAGAUGGGGGAAGAGAGUAAUUGGUAACCAGAUGGACAGAGUCUCUAUAACAGAAAAAAAAGGGUGUUUUCUCUUGCAUAUCUGAGGUGAAGUGUGUAUUCUGUGUGCUCUUAGCAAUUGGCAGUCCUCUUGCUUAGGUUUACAGGUGUAUGUGAAAAUAGACCUGAGUCUUUUCAAAGUUAGAUCAUUUUUCUGAUUUCAUCUUUAACUUUUGGCAAUACAUUUGUUUUGAUAUCCACCCUACUUGGUAGAGUGUAAGUACUUCCUUACAACGUUCUAAUGUAAAACAGUGCAUAGGAGACCUUUCUGUCCUUGGUUGCCCAAAAUAUCUUUUUCAUUUCUACUAAAUUCAGAAAUACAUAUUUUUACCAGCUUAUGAAAAUUUGGAAAAUAGCUUGACAUCCUUUUGGAUAAUGAAGUGAUUAGUUCAUAUAUUGAAGUAUAUAAAAUCAACUAGGAAGUAAAUUCAAGACUGAAGGAAUGGGAGGGCUUGUGUGAGCUUUGGUUGUAUCAUCAGUCCAGAAUAUGUAAUUUUCAUUUCCCUGAAAAAGACUUCAGAGGAAAUUUAUUUUCCCCACUAUACGCUCCAGAAUGUCUUUAGGUGAAAUGAGAGGGCUUGGGCUCUUCUGAUUCCAGACGUAGCUAUCAGAGUUUGCUUAAUGAAAUAUGGGUCUACUCACAAAUAAAGCAAUUUAAUGGUUUCGGAAGAGUAGGCAACUUGUGGUUUCAUUACCAUUUCUGUUCAUUUGAGAAAAAUCAUAAAACUACAGAGAAGGAAACAUUCAUUUCAAAAAUAAGCUUUGAAUUUAGAUGGUAAGGCAUAUAUGUUUUUUUUCACAUGACUUCAGGGUAGAAGUCAAAUGAAGAAACAUUUCUAUGGAAACUUACCCUUUAAGAUGCCAGUAUAUGCAAAGAAUGAUUGAUACCCGAGGGUGUGUCAUGUAAUAGGUGACUGAUAACAUACAGGAUUUAGUUCUUAGAAGAAGUAAGAACAGAUAUCACCCAUUACAUUGACCUGCGUUUUAAAGUGAACAAUAGAAACCUCUCUCAGAAUUAGUAUUUGCCUAUUAAUGUAAUCAGUGUAGCCUUUUCAACAUAAAAAUGUCCUUAUUCUAGAACAUGGAAGCGUACAGCAAAUGCAAUGGUUGAAAGCACUGAAAAAUAUUUGUACAACAUCUGUAGUGCUCACAUUAUGAACUUUAAAUGUAAUACUUUGAAAACCAUCUUCAUAAUUUUUUUGUUCUAACAGCUUCCUUUUUAAGAAAACAUUUAAAAACAUUUUAAAAUGGAACUGAAUGUGCAAAAUAAGUUGUGUAAAAUACCAGUAUUUGGGUGGUAGAGGAUAUUGGUAUAUUAUAUUGACCUGGGUUGAUGACUACUGGACUAUUUUAAGAUACCUACUUCCAAAACUUAUUUUAUUCUAGAGGACCACUAAAAAUCAGAAUUACAGCAAUCAUUUUAAUUUUUCUACUUUCCUUGUUAAGGUCUUCUGCUUACCCAAAGAAUAGUGUAUAUAUCUUAACAUGACUUUUAAAGGGGUAUCUUGAUCCCCAUCACAGAUUUUUAUCUAUGAAUAGAAGGAUUGAAACCCUAUUUGAUCCCUAGCUCUUUGCUGAAAAGUGCAUAAACAGGAAUCCUGAAUUUAUUAUAUAGACCUCCUCGCAUUAUAUAAUCGAAGCAAAGGGAAACCAGCGAUGGAGUAGAGGUACGUAGACUAAAGAGAUGCUUGCAAAUGAUGGUACCUAGGGAUAGUCACAUUUUCUUGUUGCCAAACUCAGUCAAUAUAAUCACAAGUCCAGAGAAGAGCUAGUUAAUUUUCAAUUCCCCGAGGUCCUUUUACUGAGAUGGAAAAGCACAAACAAUCAAGGAAAACCAAAGAGGGAGGGGUGAGGGAAGGGGAAAGUGCAUGAAGCACUUAAAGAUUUUUUUAAAGUAGGUGUGAUAGAUAAGCCACAAGAAGUUUUUAAGACUACUAAUAACCAUAAUUCUAUUUUAAUCAGCUAUUUAGCUGGUACCUACUGCUAUAUCACCUAGUGUGACAUUUCGGAAUUAAUGGAACAAUGAAGGAAGCUGUACACUGGAGGUUCCAGGUGGUCAUGGAAGGUAGGUUACUCUUACAGUUUGAAAUUGUAAAGUGUGAAAGUCUGGAUGAGAGGGGAAGGGGAACCUGGACUAUUUUUAAUUUUUUUUGAGAUGGAGUCUGGCUCUGUCGCCGAGGCUGAAGUUGCAGUGAGCCAAGAUCACGCCAUUGUACUCCAGCCUGGGCGACGAGAGUGAAACUCCAUCUCGAGAAAAAAAAAAAAGGUCAUAGUGCAUUGAAGGUUUGGCAAAAAACUAAAUACAGUUUGGACGUGAAGUUGGAUGGUAGGGUAGACAUUGAUAGGAGAGACUGGAAGUGUCUACCGGUCUCCUUACUGAGGGUGGGUGUUACAGACUUUGGUAAUUUAUUAAUACACUUGUAAAAUCUUAAUAGCACAAGAAUAAAAAUUAUUAGUGAUCAUGUAAAUACAUGACGCAUUUAAAAAAUAAUCCAACCAAAUAUGUUACAACUUUGUUUUUAUCCAGGUUUCCAGUUUAUGCAAACUUCUGUGAAAAUGAGCUUUGUUAUUGGUGAAGACAUUGGAAAUUUUACCAGCCAAGAGAGAGUUUCUCUCUUAUUCAGGGUAAGAUGUAAUUGCAGUGUGCUAGCCCUGGAAGGGACCUGUUUUACAUGUUAUGUCCAGUUCCGCAUCCUUGGAUUCAACCAACUGUGGGUUGAAAAUACUGGAGGUAAAAAGACAAAAAAUAACAAUGAAACAACAACAAAAAUACACAGUAUAAUAAUUAUAUUUACAUAGCAUUUAUUUUGUAUUAGGCAUUAUAAGUAAUCUAGAGAUGAUUUAAAGUAUAUGGGAGAAUGUAUGUAGAUGAUACGGAAAUAUGAGGGCAUUUUAUUUAAAGGGACUUGGGCCUGUGGAUACCAAGGAAUAACUAAGGUAAAACUGAGCAUAAGUGGCCUGUCCACAGUUUGUUAAAUAUCAGAUUAUUGAUUAGUGAUCAUCAAUAUUUUCCCGCAUUCACGCAGUGCUGCCUCUGAAAACAUGGUUGAACAGCCUAUGGAAUUUUUUUUUUUUUUGAGAUGGAGUCUCACUCUGUCACCUAGGCUAGGGUGCAAUGGCGCCAUCUUGGCUCACUGCAACCUCCGCCUACCCCACCUCAGGUUCAAGUGACUCCCCCGCCUCAGCCUCCUGAGUACCUGGGACUGCAGGCGCGCACCACCACGCCCGGCUAAUUUCUGUAUUUUUAGACGAGACAGGGUUUCACCCUGUUGGCCAGGCUGGUCUCAAACUCCUAACCUCAGGUGAUCCAACUGCCUCGGCCUCCCAAAGUGCUGGGAUUACAGGUGUGAGCCACUGUGCCCGGCAGAAUUUUUUAACUAUUUGGUUACGAUUCAUUUGGAUAAUGUAGACUGCCUGCAGCUUUGAUUUGUGCCACUAAGAGUGGGCAAACUGUCUUCCUUUUUGUGAAUCAGUAAAAAUUUUCCUUCACCAUGUGUUUGACAGUGUCAUUGACUUCUGAGUUAAGGCAUUUGGUAAACCACACAGCCUCCGCGUCCUUCCUAGCGACAGCCACAAGAAAAGGUGGGCAUGGCAGGGAAAAUGCUCUUGUGAAUUGAACUGGAGGCAAGCUCCACUUUUCUUUAGAAAAAGAUGUAGAUCAAAAUAACUAAUAUUUUCUUCCUUGCUCGAUUUCUGUGCCUUCCAUGGUACAUCAAAAUAAUAGGACCAGUAAUGGCCACAAUCCUGUUGACUGCUGGUAUCUUCCCCCCAAUAUUUCUUUAAGCAUUUCUUAAGCAUCUAGCUUGUGUUUUGUUAUAUUUAAUAGAUUUUCUUAAAGUAUUGUACGAAUUAAAACCAGAAAUAACUUCAUUUUCCUAGAAAGGGAUAAUUUCUCCCGGAGAAUAAAUCCUGAGGAUUUAGUUAGAUGCUGUGGGUAUUCUUGUAUUUUAAAUAAUAUUUUAAUGGGAGCAGCUGAUUGACUUUCAAAUGGAUUGUUUACAUUAAUAGUAAUUCUGCAGUUAUUUUUCUGUUGCAUCAGUCUGCCAGACAAGUUCCAUGUGUAUAUUUAAAUUCAUAA
rnacentral:sRNA from 1 species